rnacentral:rRNA from 1 species
UACGUAGGGUGCGAGCGUUGUCCGGAAUUAUUGGGCGUAAAGAGCUCGUAGGCGGUGUGUCACGUCGGCCGUGAAAACCUGCAGCUUAACUGUGGGCGUGCGGUCGAUACGGGCAUCACUGGAGUUCGGCAGGGGAGACUGGAAUUCCUGGUGUAGCGGUGAAAUGCGCAGAUAUUGGGAGGAACACCAGUGGCGAAGGCGGCUCGCUGGACCGGAACUGACGCUGAGGCGCGAAAGCGUGGGGAGCAAACAGG